ACUGCGCGCUCCCUUCGCCCCACCUCUGCACCCGCUUCUCCGCGGGGUCCCGCCGGUCCCCGGGCCCGGGACUACCACUCCCAGCAUGGCCCGGGCGGGCCCGCCCCGCCGUCGUGAUUGGCUGUGGUCCCGCUGCUCCCGCCCCGCGGGAAUGAAUGGAUGGGCGGCCUCAGCGCCCGCCCGAGCGCUGGGAGGACCGACCCGGCGGGGACCUGCUGGGGGCAGGACCCGGGGAGCAAGAUGGCCACGGUCAUCCCCGGCCCCCUGAGCCUAGGCGAGGACUUCUACCGGGAGGCCAUUGAGCACUGCCGCAGCUACAACGCGCGCCUGUGCGCCGAGCGCAGCCUGCGCCUGCCCUUCCUCGACUCGCAGACUGGCGUGGCCCAGAACAACUGCUACAUCUGGAUGGAAAAGACCCACCGCGGCCCCGGUUUGGCCCCGGGACAGAUCUACACGUACCCGGCACGCUGUUGGAGAAAGAAACGGAGACUCAACAUCCUGGAGGACCCCAGACUCCGGCCCUGCGAGUACAAGAUCGAUUGUGAGGCACCCCUGAAGAAGGAGGGCGGCCUCCCCGAAGGGCCAGUCCUGGAGGCGCUACUGUGUGCUGAGACAGGGGAGAAGAAGAUUGAGUUGAAGGAGGAGGAGACCAUUAUGGACUGCCAGAAACAGCAGCUGCUGGAGUUUCCACAUGAUCUCGAGGUAGAAGACUUGGAGGAUGACAUUCCCAGGAGGAAGAACAGGGCUAAAGGAAAGGCAUAUGGCAUCGGGGGUCUCCGGAAACGCCAGGACACCGCAUCCCUGGAGGACCGAGACAAGCCGUAUGUCUGUGAUAUCUGUGGGAAACGGUAUAAGAACCGGCCAGGGCUCAGCUACCACUACACCCACACCCACCUGGCUGAGGAGGAGGGGGAGGAGAACGCCGAGCGCCACGCCCUGCCCUUCCACCGGAAAAACAACCAUAAACAGUUUUACAAAGAAUUGGCCUGGGUCCCUGAGGCACAGAGGAAACACACAGCCAAGAAGGCACCCGACGGCACUGUCAUCCCCAACGGCUACUGUGACUUCUGCCUGGGGGGCUCCAAGAAGACGGGGUGUCCCGAGGACCUCAUCUCCUGUGCUGACUGUGGGCGAUCAGUUUACGGUGAACAUGACAGCGGCCGUGCGGACCUACCGCUGGCAGUGCAUCGAGUGCAAGUCCUGCAGCCUGUGCGGCACCUCGGAGAACGACGGUGCCAGCUGGGCGGGUCUCACCCCCCAGGACCAGCUGCUGUUUUGUGACGACUGCGACCGGGGUUACCACAUGUACUGCCUGAGCCCCCCCAUGGCGGAGCCCCCGGAAGGGAGCUGGAGUUGUCACCUCUGUCUUCGGCACCUGAAAGAGAAGGCCUCUGCCUACAUCACCCUCACCUAGGCCUGGCUCGGCGCACCUGGACCUCUGGGGUGGUGCUCACCCAUCUGCCUCUCGGAGCUCCUCCACGCUCUCUGUGCCCUCAGCGCCCCACAGUGGAGGGGAACAGGGGGAGCCCGAGAGGGGGCUAGGCCACCCCUUCCCUCUGUGCAGGUGGAAUGUUUGCCCUGUGGGUUGGUGCCCCUCUCCCUUCCUCCCUCCUUCCCCAUCCCUUGGCGAAUGGGCACCGGGAGCUUCUGCUCCCCUCAAAGCCAUACCCCGCCUCUGGGCGGGCAUGAGGGGUGGUAGAUGCCAGCCCGGGGCAUGGACACAACGUUUUUCUAAAGAAAAAGUCAAAAAGCUAAAAAAAAAAAAAAAGAAAAGAAAAAAGAAAUUAAUAUAUACAAAGAGUCCUAUAAGGCCUGGCUGGGUGGAGGGGGCGCUGGCGAGUGCAUCCGCUGGGCACCCGGCUCUGCCAGCUUCCUGCCUAGCAGCCCCUCCCCCCAGUUUCUGGAGUUGCAGCUGUCCCACCUCCUCACCCAGUGUGGGCACCAGCCCCCCUUGUGCCCAGGGCAGGUGGGUGUGGUGCCCACCCUCGCCCCCCCUUGGUGCCCACCGUGGAUACUGCAUGAUGUGAACCAUGGUUUUGAACUCCGUUCUUGCUCCCUCCCUGAGAGCCCCACCCUGCCCGCUCUCUGCCCGCCGCCUGCCCUGGCUGGCGGGCGUCGGCUGGGGGGCAAGGCGGGCCCCUGCCCAGCGCCCGCUGGAAUGAGAAGCACAGACUCUACAAUGGACUAGUUUUUCCCUCUUCCCCCGCUCCAGUUCCCCACCGGCCAGGCCGGGCUGCCCCCUGCCACCCUCGCUGGCCAUUUUGGGGGUAGCGAGGGGGCGUGGUUGUUUCUUGUGGUUGUGUGUUUGUUGUUCGGGUUAAAAAAAAAGGGAAAUUGAGACUGCAAGUGGGGGGAGGUGGUGGGUUCGGGGGUCUCCCCCAAUCCAAGCAUGCCCCCCCUUGUAAACGAGUCUCCUUUAUUGCCUGCCUCUGCUGUGAAUUAACUUGUUCUGUGUAUUAAACUGGGUCUGACCCCUCUGCCCACGA